UCUGACCCCCAGCUGUGCAGUCGGGCUCCCAGCUCCUGGGCCAGCACUGAGCUAUGGGGCUCUCGGCAUACAUGCCUUGACACGUCUUUCCAUGCGCCAGAGAGUAACAAAUGGUCCUGCAUCAGUGAUUAUGACCCAAACUGGGGGAAAAGACCUGAGGAAUAAAAAGUUUGAUGCUUACCAACAGAGCUGUUGGCUUGUAACACAUCAAUAAUGUACAAAGCCCAUCAAAGCACUUGGUGAUUAGAGUUCCACAGCACACUGUAUCCUAUGGAGCAUUUAGAGUCCACUGUGCCAAUGAAGCACAAAUUGAGAGACAUGAUAUACACCCACACCAAGAAGCUUUUAAGAAAUGAGGGAAAAAUUCUAGAGCACUGAAAAAAAUAAAGACAGGAAGGAGGUUUUUUUUAACCACAAUAUUACUAUGAGAACAUGUUCAGAAACAUAACUGGGUGUCAAAGCUGAGCUUGUUCAACUUUUUUAGUCAUCUGUGGACAUCUCCCUCCAAUAUGAAGCAAUUUAAACAACUUUUCUGAGCAGCCUGUGAAUCAGGCCUCAUGCCCAGCUGUCCGCCUCUGUGGUCUGUGUUCAGGAAGAAGCAUGGCAGAUCCAACUCAAAAUCCAGGAGCUGAUCUUGCAGCAAGUAGAACAAAGUAUUAGCUCAGACUGCUGGAGAUGAAAAUCCCAAUCAAAUCUGAAGGUUGAGAUGUUUGGCUCAAGCACUUAUAUUGAACUGUGACUUCUUUGACAGAUGCUCUGAUCCAGAGUUUGACUUGCCUUCCUCUCAAGAGCAGCAUAAAUAGUGAAGAACAAGGCUCUUGCUGUUAAAUACCAAAUGCUUUAACGCCAUAGCUGAAGAUAUUUAGUCACUAAAAAUCUGAUGCAAUAAUGUUAGUGUUUCCAAACACCAAAGUCAAAAUCUUCUGGAGUGUUGCAAGGGAAGGAGGGGAUGUCAUUUGGCAACAGUGCCCCUGCGGGCUCUGUUACAGGUCACCCAGUCCCCUUGCACACAGGAGGUGCAGCCAACCCUGGCUCCUGCCAUGGUGAAAGUGAUAAGAGCUGCUCUUUUCUGAUGUAUAAACACCUUGAAAAAUGGUGUUGUGUGAGCAGAAUGGGUUUGCAAUUCCAACUAGACAGUUGAAA